rnacentral:piRNA from 1 species
UGAAUUAGUGGAAUUAGUGGCCUCUCU